rnacentral:rRNA from 1 species
UACGGAGGGUGCAAGCGUUAUCCGGAAUCACUGGGUUUAAAGGGUGCGUAGGCGGUUUGUUAAGUCAGUUGUGAAAUUCCCCCGCUUAACGGGUGGGACUGCGAUUGAUACUGAUGAACUUGAAUCAGGUUGAGGUAGGCGGAAUGUGGCAUGUAGCGGUGAAAUGCUUAGAGAUGCCAGAGAACACCGAUUGCGAAGGCAGCUUGCUGGACCUUGAUUGACGCUGAGGCACGAAAGAGUGGGGAGCAAACAGG